rnacentral:rRNA from 1 species
AUUGAACGCUGGCGGCAGGCCUAACACAUGCAAGUCGAGCGAGCGGCGGACGGGUGAGUAAUGUAUGGGGACUGCCCGAUAGAGGGGGAUAACUACUGGAAACGGUAGCUAAUACCGCAUACUAUCGGAUAACCCAUAUGGGAUUAGCUAGUAGGUGAGGUAAUGGCCCACCUAGGCGACGAUCCCUAGCUGGUCUGAGAGGAUGAUCAGCCACACUGGGACUUAGACACUGCCCAGACUCCUACGGAGGCAGCAGUGGGGAAUAUUGCACAAUGGGCGCAAGCCUGAUGCAGCCAUGCCGCGUGUAUGAAGAAGGCCCUAGGGUUGUAAAGUACUUUCAGUCGGGAGGCGUUGCCGACAGAAGAAGAACCGGCUAUCUCCAUGCCAGCAACCGCGGUAAUGC